UACGUAGGGGGCUAGCGUUAUCCGGAUUUACUGGGCGUAAAGGGUGCGUAGGCGGUCUUUCAAGUCAGGAGUGAAAGGCUACGGCUCAACCGUAGUAAGCUCUUGAAACUGUAAGACUUGAGUGCAGGAGAGGAGAGUGGAAUUCCUAGUGUAGCGGUGAAAUGCGUAGAUAUUAGGAGGAACACCAGUUGCGAAGGCGGCUCUCUUGACUGUAACUGACGCUGAGGCUCGAAAGCGUGGGGAGCAAACAGGAUUAGAUACCCUGGUAGU
rnacentral:rRNA from 1 species